rnacentral:rRNA from 1 species
UACGGAGGAUCCAAGCGUUAUCCGGAUUUAUUGGGUUUAAAGGGUGCGUAGGCGGAAUGAUAAGUCAGUGGUGAAAGCCCGCAGCUCAACUGCGGAACUGCCGUUGAUACUGUCAAUCUUGAGUACAUUUGAUGUGGGCGGAAUGUGUCAUGUAGCGGUGAAAUGCUUAGAUAUGACACAGAACACCGAUUGCGAAGGCAGCUCACAAAACUGUAACUGACGCUGAGGCACGAAAGCGUGGGGAGCGAACAGG